rnacentral:rRNA from 1 species
GAGUUUGAUCAUGGCUCAGAACGUACGCUGGCGGCACGCCUAACACAUGCAAGUCGAACGAAGUAGCAAUACUUAGUGGCAGACGGGUGAGUAACAUGUAGGUAUCUGCCCUUUGGCCUGGAAUAACACGAGGAAACUUGUGCUAAUACCGGAUAAGUCUUUACGGAGAAAGCUUUAUGCACCAUUGGAUGAGCCUGCACUUGAUUAGUUUGUUGGUGGGGUAAUGGCCUACCAAGACUGUGAUCAAUAGCUGAUUUGAGAGGAUGAUCAGCCACAUUGGGACUGAGACACGGCCCAAACUCCUACGGGAGGCAGCAGUGGGGAAUCUUGCACAAUGGAGGAAACUCUGAUGCAGCGAUGCCGCGUGAGUGAAGAAGGCCCUUGGGUUGUAAAGCUCUUUCGUCGGGGAAGAAAAUGACUGUACCCGAAUAAGAAGGUCCGGCUAACUUCGUGCCAGCAGCCGCGGUAAUACGAAGGGACCUAGCGUAGUUCGGAAUUACUGGGCUUAAAGAGUUCGUAGGUGGUUGAAAAAGUUAGUGGUGAAAUCCCAGAGCUUAACUCUGGAACUGCCAUUAAAACUUUUCAGCUAGAGUAUGAUAGAGGAAAGCAGAAUUUCUAGUGUAGAGGUGAAAUUCGUAGAUAUUAGAAAGAAUACCAAUUGCGAAGGCAGCUUUCUGGAUCAUUACUGACACUGAGGAACGAAAGCAUGGGUAGCGAAGAGGAUUAGAUACCCUCGUAGUCCAUGCCGUAAACGAUGUGUGUUAGACGUUGGAAAUUUAUUUUCAGUGUCGCAGGAAACCGAUAAACACACCGCCUGGGGAGUACGACCGC